GGUCUUAUGGCGAAGCGGUCAACGCGAUAGAUAAACACUAUCACUCACAGGUUCAACUCCUGUUAAGAUCA
rnacentral:tRNA from 1 species